GGAUUGCUUGAGCCCAGGAGUUCUGGGCUGUCAUGCACUGUGACCAUGAGGUGUCCACACUAAGUUCCACAUCAAUACGGUGACCUCCUGGGAGUGAGGGACCAUCAGGUUGCCUAAGGAGGAGUGAAGCAGCCCAGGUCAGAAAUGGAGCAGGUCAAAACUUUCAGGCUGAUCAGUAGAGGAAUUGUACCUGUGAAUAGCCACACUGCAGCCUGGGCAACAUAGCAAGA
rnacentral:sRNA from 1 species